GAGAAGGGUUAUAAACAUAGAAACUG
rnacentral:tRNA from 1 species